CAGCCGCCACGGUAAUACGUAGGGUGCGAGCGUUAAUCGGAAUUACUGGGCGUAAAGCGUGCGCAGGCGGUUUUGUAAGACAGGCGUGAAAUCCCCGGGCUCAACCUGGGAAUGGCGCUUGUGACUGCAAAGCUAGAGUGCGGCAGAGGGGGAUGGAAUUCCGCGUGUAGCAGUGAAAUGCGUAGAUAUGCGGAGGAACACCGAUGGCGAAGGCAAUCCCCUGGGCCUGCACUGACGCUCAUGCACGAAAGCGUGGGGAGCAAGCAGGAUUAGAUACCCCGGUAGUCCCUGUCUCUUAUAC
rnacentral:rRNA from 1 species